ACAAUUGCUACAAUUUUAAAAAAAAAAUUUAAAAAAAUAUAUAUGCAACAAAAAACUAAAAAUAAUUAUUAUGAAUACGGGGUUCUGUUCGUAUGGUGCCGGAGUCUAUAGUGGUAUUCCGAAGCGGUGUUAGCUUAGGGUUUGCACAGUUACACUGCGUUUCAUUACGUUUAUUUUUAGUGGGUUUUCAAUUGGAGAUUAUGGAUCAGAAAGCUGGGGAUAGCAGCACUGUGAAGAAAAUAAAUUCAGCUUGUGAUGUUGAGGCUUUAAAAAAGUGUUUGGAAGAGAACAAGGGAGAUUAUGUCAAAUGUCAGACACAGAUUGAGGCUUUCAAGUCAUCAUGCUCACUCAAAAAACCAAACCCCUCUCUUGAUUCUGCUUCACGUUAGAUCAAGUUAGAUGGUUCUGAUUCUUGAGUUGAUUUGUGGGUGUACUGUGUUAUGGUAAAGGGAUGAUUAUGAACUGAACUUUAUGUCUUUCCCGAUGAUAUUCCUCAGUUGUAUCAAUAUUUAAUAAUAAUAAUUGUGAUAGAAUAAUUUGAUUAUUAGUUUCAUGAA